rnacentral:rRNA from 1 species
UACGUAGGUGGCAAGCGUUGUCCGGAAUUAUUGGGCGUAAAGCGCGCGCAGGUGGUUCUUUAAGUCUGAUGUGAAAGCCCACGGCUCAACCGUGGAGGGUCAUUGGAAGCUGGGGAACUUGAGUGCAGAAGAGGAAAGUGGAAUUCCAGGUGUAGCGGUGAAAUGCGUAGAGAUUUGGAGGAACACCAGUGGCGAAGGCGACUUUCUGGUCUGUAACUGACACUGAGGCGCGAAAGCGUGGGGAGCAAACAGG